rnacentral:rRNA from 1 species
GAAAUCCGGAUUAAUACCGCAUACGCCCUACAGGGGGAAAGCUGGGGAUCUUCNGACCUGGCACUAGUAGAUAAGCCCGCGUUGGAUUAGCUUGUUGGUAGGGUAAUGGCCUACCAAGGCAACGAUCCAUAGCUGUUCUGAGAGGAAGAUCAGCCACACUGGGUACUGAGACACGGCCCAGACUCCUACGGGAGGCAGCAGUGGGGAAUAUUGCACAAUGGGCGCAAGCCUGAUGCAGCAAUACCGCGUGUGUGAAGAAGGCCUGAGGGUUGUAAAGCACUUUCAAUAGUGAAGAAAAGCUUAUAGUUAAUAGCUGUAAGUCUUGACGUUAUCUAUACAAGAAGCACCGGCUAACUCCGUGCCAGCAGCCGCGGUAAUACGGAGGGUGCAAGCGUUAAUCGGAAUUACUGGGCGUAAAGCGUGCGUANGCGGUUUACUAAGUCAGAUGUGGAAAGCCCCGGGCUUAACCUGGGAACUGCAUUUGAUACUGGUUAGGCUAGAGUAUGAUAGAGGGGG